rnacentral:rRNA from 1 species
UACAGAGGUCCCGAGCGUUGUUCGGAUUCAUUGGGCGUAAAGGGUGCGUAGGCGGCUUCCUAAGUUUGAUGUGAAAUCCUGGGGCUCAACCCUGGAACUGCAUUGAAUACUGGGAGGCUAGAGUACUGGAGAGGAAACUGGAAUUUACGGUGUAGCAGUGAAAUGCGUAGAGAUCGUAAGGAAGACCAGUGGCGAAGGCGAGUUUCUGGACAGUUACCGACGCUGAGGCACGUAGGCCAGGGGAGCAAACGGG